rnacentral:sRNA from 1 species
GAAUAUUCAAUCUAAUUGACGAAAAAGACAAUAUGAAAAAUAUAUUCAUAUAUCUACAAAGGUUUUCGGAGAUCUACAACAAACAUCAAUUUAUUUGUCUCACGUGGACCGAUUAUAAAUCCAAAUAUCUUAGUUGCAUUGGAUUAAAUUGAGAAAAAUAUGGACAAUAUUUGCAUUGUUAUGGACCUUUUGUUGGUUUACUGGAAAACUAAUUUACUCCAAAUCCAUCUGCCCCCAAUUAUCUCGCCAACAAAAACGACACGUAAAUAGCACUUAUCUGGAGUAGGCAUAUAAGUUUUGUUCCCAAGUUAACAUCUUACUUAAGCCCACAUUCACUGAGUAAUUUUUAAAAAGCGAAGUCCUCGAAGAACAAAUUUAACUAUCCAAUUAAUACAAAUUUCGACUUGAACAGUUUGGCACUAUAAAGAAGGAACAGCAAAAGCUUUAACAUUCUAUACAAAAUAAGACGUUUUUGAGAUGCAAGACCACCAAAAAUAUUUUUAAAAAAUUCAAAAUAUAAAGACCACCAAUAAUUUGUGUAGACUUUACUAAGAUAUA